CAGGGUGUAGUUUAAUGGCAGAGCAUUAGUUUCCAAAACUAAGAAUAUUGGUUCGAAUCCAAUCAUCCUGG
rnacentral:tRNA from 2 species